AACAAACGCUGGCGGCGUGCCUAACACAUGCAAGUCGUACGAGAAAGGGUCCUUCGGGGCCUGAGUAAAGUGGCGCACGGGUGAGUAACGCGUGGAUAAUCUGCCCUUCAGUUGGGAAUAACUCAUCGAAAGGUGGGCUAAUACCGAAUAAUGCUGUGAGACCUCGGUUGAUCAGCCAAAGAGAGCCUCUGCUUGCAAGCCCUCGCUGAAGGAUGAGUCCGCGUACCAUUAGCUAGUUGGUAGGGUAAUGGCCUACCAAGGCGACGAUGGUUAGCGGGUCUGAGAGGAUGAUCAGCCCCACUGGAACUGGGACACGGUCCAGACUCCUACGGGAGGCAGCAGUGAGGAAUCUUGCGCAAUGGGGGCAACCCUGACGCAGCAACGCCGCGUGAGUGAGGAAGGUCUUCGGAUCGUAAAGCUCUGUCGGAUGGAAAGAACCGCAUAGGGGUAAACAGCCCCUGUGUCUGACGGUACCAUCAAAGGAAGCACCGGCUAACUCCGUGCCAGCAGCCGCGGUAACAC
rnacentral:rRNA from 1 species